ensembl:lncRNA
GCCUGGCCACAUGGAGCUUGCAGUCUGCACAAACUCAGUGUGUUGAUGACAUGGGCAGCAGCGAGAGCUGUCAUCAUAUAUUCCACACCUGUGGGAGCACUGGGUGUCUGGUGCCUGGCAGAGAGCCUGGUGGGGUGCCCCCAGAGAGACCCAGCAUUGCAGGCUGUAGAAGAACACAGAUGAGAUAUAUUUUGUGUUCCUGGGAAUGUAUAAAUCUGAUUAAAAGAAUUGAGAUAAAGUGUGCCACGUGGAAUCAGGCUGCUGAGGCAUCUGUACCAGUAUCCAGCUGGCCUGGAAAAAAGGCUUAAAAAACACACUAAGUGGCAUGGAAG